AGAAAGCAGGGGAUCUUCGGACCUUGCGCUAAUAGAUGAGCCUAAGUCGGAUUAGCUAGUUGGUGGGGUAAAGGCCUACCAAGGCGACGAUCUGUAGCGGGUCUGAGAGGAUGAUCCGCCACACUGGGACUGAGACACGGCCCAGACUCCUACGGGAGGCAGCAGUGGGGAAUAUUGGACAAUGGGGGGAACCCUGAUCCAGCCAUGCCGCGUGUGUGAAGAAGGCCUUAUGGUUGUAAAGCACUUUAAGCGAGGAGGAGGCUACUUUAGUUAAUACCUAGAGAUAGUGGACGUUACUCGCAGAAUAAGCACCGGCUAACUCUGUGCCAGCAGCCGCGGUAAUACAGAGGGUGCGAGCGUUAAUCGGAUUUACUGGGCGUAAAGCGUGCGUAGGCGGCUUAUUAAGUCGGAUGUGAAAUCCCCGAGCUUAACUUGGGAAUUGCAUUCGAUACUGGUGAGCUAGAGUA
rnacentral:rRNA from 1 species